rnacentral:rRNA from 1 species
AUUGAACGCUGGCGGCAUGCCUUACACAUGCAAGUCGAACGGCAGCACGGGUGCUUGCACCUGGUGGCGAGUGGCGAACGGGUGAGUAAUACAUCGGAACAUGUCCUGUAGUGGGGGAUAGCCCGGCGAAAGCCGGAUUAAUACCGCAUACGAUCCACGGAUGAAAGCGGGGGACCUUCGGGCCUCGCGCUAUAAGGUUGGCCGAUGGCUGAUUAGCUAGUUGGUGGGGUAAAGGCCUACCAAGGCGACGAUCAGUAGCUGGUCUGAGAGGACGACCAGCCACACUGGGACUGAGACACGGCCCAGACUCCUACGGGAGGCAGCAGUGGGGAAUUUUGGACAAUGGGCGAAAGCCUGAUCCAGCAAUGCCGCGUGUGUGAAGAAGGCCUUCGGGUUGUAAAGCACUUUUGUCCGGAAAGAAAUCCUUGGCUCUAAUACAGUCGGGGGAUGACGGUACCGGAAGAAUAAGCACCGGCUAACUACGUG